AGUCGAACGGACCCGCAAGGGUUAGUGGCGGAAGGGUGAGUAAAAGUAUCGAACGUACCCCGAGGUGGGGGAUAGGCAUGGGAAACUGUGCGUAAUACCUCAUGAUCUCUACGGAGCAAAGCCGCAAGGCGCCUUGGGAGCGGCGAUAUACCUAUCAGGUAGUUGGCGGGGUAACGGCCCACCAAGCCGACGACGGGUAGCCGGUGUGAGAGCACGGCCGGCCACAUCGAGACUGAGACACUGCUCGGACUCCUACGGGAGGCUGCAGUAACGAAUAUUCCGCAAUGCACGAAAGUGUGACGGAGCAAUGCCGCGUGCAGGAUGAAGCAACUUCGUUGUGUAAACUGCUGUCAGGGGCGAGAAACACUGAUCAGCCCCAGAGGAAGGACCGGCUAAACUCGUGCCAGCAGCCGCGGUAAGACGAGUGGUCCAAGCGUUAGUCGGAAUUACUGGGCUUAAAGGGUGCGUAGGCGGAUUCGUAAGCGUCUUGUGAAAGCCCUCGGCUCAACCGAGGAACUGCAGGGCGAACUGCGAGUCUUGAGGAAGGUAGAGGCCGGCGGAACGAUCGGUGGAGCGGUGGAAUGCGUAGAGAUCGAUCGGAACGCCAAAGGUGAAGACAGCCGGCUGGGCCUUUCCUGACGCUGAGGCACGAAAGCGUGGGGAUCAAACAGGAUUAGAUACCCUGGUAGUCCACGCCCUA
rnacentral:rRNA from 1 species